CAAACUUGUAACCGAGAAGUGACAGUACACAUCUGCUAUCUUAGUUAAAACACCCGGGGCCUUGGCAUCACCACUGCCGGCCUCGUCCCGCCUCCGUGGAUCGGUUUAAUCUGCUGAUAGCUCCGUUAUCCGGGAGAAAAUGUUACCUUUUGGUGUUUUGGUGAUGUUGCUGGGCCUUCAGCACGGAGACGUCUGCACUGCUUCUCCAACACCACUAAUCAUCAGCCUCCAGGUGGAGUACGGGGCCUCGGCCGUCUUGCCCUGUAACGGUUCAGCCUACCUGCAGGAGGAGGAGAAGGAGGG